AAUUCGCCCUUAGAGUUUGAUCAUGGCUCAGAUUGAACGCUGGCGGCAUGCCUUACACAUGCAAGUCGAACGGUAACGCGGGGCAACCUGGCGACGAGUGGCGAACGGGUGAGUAAUAUAUCGGAACGUGCCCAGUCGUGGGGGAUAACUGCUCGAAAGAGCAGCUAAUACCGCAUACGACCUGAGGGUGAAAGCGGGGGAUCUUCGGACCUCGCGCGAUUGGAGCGGCCGAUAUCAGAUUAGGUAGUUGGUGGGGUAAAGGCCUACCAAGCCGACGAUCUGUAGCUGGUCUGAGAGGAUGAUCAGCCACACUGGGACUGAGACACGGCCCAGACUCCUACGGGAGGCAGCAGUGGGGAAUAUUGGACAAUGGGCGCAAGCCUGAUCCAGCAAUGCCGCGUGUGUGAAGAAGGCCUGCGGGUUGUAAAGCACUUUCAGUAGGGAAGAAAAAUCUGUUGUGAAUAGCGACGGGUAUGACGUA
rnacentral:rRNA from 1 species